rnacentral:tRNA from 1 species
ACCUGGCUGGUUCAGUCUGUGGAGCAUGAGACUCUGGAUCUCAGGGUUGUGGGUUCAAGCCCCAUGUUGGAUG